ACAGAAACGUGAGGUCCCAGAUUACCUUUGUGGCAAGAUAAGUUUUGAAUUGAUGAGGGAUCCUGUCAUCACGCCCAGUGGUAUCACGUAUGAUCGCAAAGAUAUCGAGGAACAUCUACAGAGAGUGGGUCAUUUCGACCCUGUGACACGCUCAAAGCUGAUCCAAGACCAGCUUAUACCCAACCUAGGGAUGAAGGAGGUGAUUGAUACAUUCCUAUGUGAUAAUGAAUGGGUGGAAGAGUUCUGAAUAAAGAGACACCCAUUCCUAGAUGACAUUGACUAUGUGGAAUGUUAUAGAGACCCUACCAAGGUCCAUGCAGGUAAUAGGCAGAUAUAAGGAACGACAUUGAAGUCGCUGCUACUCGUCUUCUACGCAAAUUCCAUGCGAAGGAACUCAGUCAUGGAAUGCAGACUGUGUUAGACAUUGAAGCUGGACUUCAUGACACUACGUGAUAUUAUCCAAUAACAGAUGAAUGGAUGAGUUACUUCUAAUGCUUCUACUGCAUCAGGAAGAAGUUUCUCAUCUGAUCUGCCCGAAUGAUUGUAGCAUGGAACUUCAAUGGUGGUGAAGAUGCUUGGCUGUCUACCAAGCAUCGAACAAACUUCUCGUGCAGAGAUUACUGUCACACAAUUCCAUUACAGCUCAUUGAUUUUUACCCCAAUAUUGAUCUAUCUAUAAAAGUUUGAUCUUUUUAGCAUCACCUUUUCACAGAACUCCAGCUUUAGCAUGUUUAUGGCAUGUUAGCUUCUCUCCAAGCCUUAAAUCAAUUAUAAAGAAAAAACAAUUUGGCAUCAAGAAAGCUACUCUAAAUUCAGCAUAGGUCAAAGCCGCUGACGUAAUUUAUUAAAGUUACCUUAUCCAAAUGUAUCAGGACUAGUCCGUCUAUGUUUUGUAAUAGUCACUUCGAAAAAGAUAUGUUGUACACUAAAAGUUGUGGAAUACAUAACUUUCCUUUCUAGUUCCAAAUGAUAUGAUUGCUAUUAUCAUAAACUUUUCUUUUAAGAUAACGGUAGUGUGCUUUAAUUUCUAAUGAAAUGUUGGCAAAUAAUGAAGAACUUAGUAUUCAAAUACAAGAAUUUCAAUCUAAAGAGAUUAGAUUUUAACUAAUGCUGAAUGCAGGGCUGCCAAUUCUCCCUUAUUAUCAGGGAGACUCCUUGGCAAAUGACUGAUUUCUUAGUGAAAAACUCUUGAUUUUCAAUAUCUCCCUGAUUCAAUACAUUAAUUUCUUUCAUUGGAUUGUGUGUAAUGGAGAAAGCUCUCCUUCCUUCCCCAGUAAAUUCUCCCUGAGAAGCGAAUAAUAAAGUUGGCAGCUCUAUGAAUGAGAACACAAUCUGUUGACAUUCUGAAUGAGCAAAAAAUUUGGUAACAAGUCAUGCUUAAAGUCAAGGGUAACAGCUUUAUGAAUCACAGGUCUUGUAGGACGUGAAGUUCAAUAUAUUUUUUAUCAUCACGGCAUUAGGUGGGUGUUUCAUAAAGCCGUUUGUAAGUUAAGAGCGACUUUCAGAACGACUGGUGAUUCUUUCUUGUGGUAAAUGGUAUACGCCAAAAUGUUAAUUGGCAAUGGUUUAGUGCGUAAGAAAGGAUCACCAGUCAUUCAUAAAGUUGCUCUCAAGUUACAAACAGCUUUAUGAAACAACCCUAGGCUUGAGUACUCUAAUGGGAUUAUGUGCAUACACUGUGAGAAAGCUUGCUUAGAGAUAUUGUCAAUGUACUAUUUUUCACUUAAAUCAUAAUAAUAUUCAAUCACCCAAUACUCAUUAGUAUAUACAAUGUAUAUAUGUAUUCCAUGAUAUAGUAUUAGUUCAAAUCUGUCCAGUCCACAAAUGAAAUUGUGAUGAUAUAAAAAGUACAUGUGCAUUCUGUUGCACCAAUUCAAACAAAGUUCUGAAAGAUAUACUGUAUUGCAUAAAGUAUUAUUAACUUUGAGAUUUACUUGUAAUUUGUCUUAUUAUUUAUUACUCUUUUAAAGAUAAGAGUAUCCGUGCAGCAACAACAUCGGUUGUACCGUUUGAUGAUUAUGCCACAAUGGUGUAGAUUUGAGCUCCUACAUUAUAAACAUGACAUAACAUAACCCCAUUCGUAGGGGUGAUAUCUGAUUUGGAUUAUAAUAUCAGAAUUGGCUGGCUGAACUUUUGGGGAGCAACAAAUUUAUUGCCCUUAUAAGAACCAUUAUUUCCCUCUGUUUCUGUUAAAAGCAAUAUAAUUCAUGUUCCCCUCAAGGCCAGUCAGUAUUAUUCAAAUAUUACCUAUUGGCUCUUUUUUUUUCGUUACUCCCAUUAAAAGUCUUACCUAUUGAAUAUAUUUUUAUUAAAAACAACUAUGGACUUUCAGAAUUAAUGUAAAUGAUGCUGUUGAAAUAUCAAUCAGGAAUAGUCAUCAGGAGGUAUAUUUCAUUUUCUUUGGAAAACAUGGGCAAUUUCUUUUUCUAUCUCAGCAGACCCAGAAGAAUGCAAUCAAUAUGGUAAUAGUAGAUCUACUUCACAUUCCGUCCUGAAGUGAUUUCAACAUUUAAUCAAUAUUUUUGUCUGGUAAGUUGUCGGAUCUGGCAACUCUCCAUGAUUGGCUGAGAAGCACUAUUACUAUCAUAUCAAACAUACUUUCGUAAUAAUAAUAAUGAUAUGUAGCAUUUAAAGUACUCCUAUCUAGUUACCUAUUCUGAGAUGAAGAGGGAAGAUGUUGUGGAGAAGCAAAUUGUAUGAAAUAUGAUGUGAAUAAAUAUGUUUUAAGGUUGGAUUUGAAUGAUUCCAUA